rnacentral:pre_miRNA from 1 species
AUACUAAUCCCUCCGUCCCGAAUUACUCGUCGCAGAAAUGGAUGUAUCUAGAAAUAAAAUACAUCUAGAUACAUCCAUACCCGCGACAAGUAAUUCGGGACGGAGGGAUUACUUC